CUCUCCCUGUCUCCUCACAUGACGACGCACCGGUCGGCUCCUCUGAGGCGGCGAACCGCAGCAUCGUUGCUGACCUAGGGUUCGCCCUCCGUGUCAUUGGCCGUUUAGGAUCGUCUGGGCCCUGGCACAGCAGGCCCCAUGAGGGCGGCGGUGGCAGGGGGAAACCCUAGGUCACCUACCGGUGUAGUGGCCCCGACACAGGUGGUGCGGACGCGUGCUCGCCGGUGUGCAAACGGGGUUCCACGGUCAUAGCGGCGACGCAGGGCCGUCCCUCGUCCUCGCCUCUCUCUUGCUGCGCAAAAGUCCAGCCAUCAAGGAGACAGAAUGUCCAAAUGAUUUGGCUAUCCAGUCCCUUUUAUCAGCAGUGGAUUCAUUUGGUGCUGACUACAAGCUUCUUGGGAUACAGGCUUCCAGGGAGCCAACGACAUGAUAUAAGAAACUUUUCAUGCUUCCAUUGGCCCAAUUCUACAAUGGCAUUGUCAGGUUUUAUGUGUCUCACAAAACUCAUUCGCUUUCCUGCACUCAAAUCACAGUUUAGUGUACUUAGAGCAACUGUGUUUUUACUUUCCAGUCACCCUUUCACAACUGGACUUAACAGAUGGAAACAUGCGGAUAAAGUAAUUUAGUUGGAGCUAUUGGAAUUUACGGCUCAUAGUACAUGUUCUCUUUGCGUUUCCUUGCAUCUAAUUUUCAUGGAUUUGCCAUGUUUAAUUUAAUUCUAGGAGCAAAGGAAGAGAUUACACAGGAUGGCCAUGCGGUUCUGCAUUGGUUUUGUGUCAGGGAGGACUAAAUGGUCCGUGGACAAUUUGUUCAGAUCUUUGAUAUCGUCCUCAUCUUCUUUGCAAUUCCAGUUUGAUCCCCCUAAGGCUGGGGUUCCAAUGCAUCACAUAUUUGACCAUAAAUGUAGCGGAUAUAGAAUGGGUGGUUAGUACCUACUAUAAAAUUUAUCACUACCGGUUUCUGAAAGAUAUAUUUAUGUACUCCUAUUGAUCGUUUAGUACUCUAGCCAAAUUCCUUUUGACUUUUCAUGCUCAUAGGUCAUCCAACUUUGUAUUUAUUUUUGGCGCUCCAUCUUCCUGUCUAUUAAUUGAUAUCGGUUUGUUGCCAACCCUUCUCUGGCACUAAUCGGUCUAAGAGUUUUUCCAACCAUAUCGAAGACAUCUAUAUGUUUCUAUCCUCACUUCAUCAUCAUAAAUGAAUUAUAUAGGUGUCGUAAGAGUUCUUGCAAGUCGAAGCUUUUGAAAACCUCAGUAAUGCUAUUGGAAUCUUGGUCAUCUCCACAGAAUAUUCAGCCUCAAGCAUUUUGCCUGUGUUUUUAAUAAUAUUCCUGUCCUUGCACAAAAAACUUACUUUGACUGAUCUUCAGGUAAGCUACCUGUGCACUAAAGUUUCUUUAUUUUCUGCUCUCAUACUUGCCUUUCCUCUCUAUACCUAUCAUACCGUCAUCUACUUCCUAAAGCAAACCUUGUGGUGUUUAACUAUAGACUAACAAGAUAUGCAAUUAACCACUCUCUUUCACAGUUCAAAAUUGUGUUACACGCACUGCUCCUUGUGUAAAAGGAGACCAGCUAAGCACUCUCUUCGAGAAUUAAAAAAUGGGUUCCAAGACCUGAUGCUUGUGUUCAAGGAAACCAGCUACACGAAGGCUCACAUACCUUCCUUCUUACGAUGCUGUGUCUGAAGAUACUACUACAUCGAUUAUAUUCACUAAAAAAGUUGUUUCUUCGGGGCAUCAGCUGAGAAGACCAUAGGGUGCUAUGUGGAAGCCAGCUGGGAAGCCAGAACAUACAACUCUCAUGGGAGGUCAUAUUCCCUUUGUUGAAUUUUUGUUUCAGCCUCAACAAGAGCCGGACCAAUUUAGUGGUGGCUAUUAUGGGUAUCCCCAAGGAUACUAUCCAUAUGGUUGCUUGCCCCCUCAAAAUCCUGCCAUAUACACCUACACAACAAUAUCCAAGGUAUCAAAGUUACCAACAGCAGCCAGCAUUGCAGCCUCCACCAUAACAGUAGGAGUAAAGAUGACCCGAGAGGAUCUUUUGCAAACUGCCCCCAAUGUUGUUGGGGCAGCAUCUUUGGUGCAUCAGCACGACAAUCUCCUUACUUUUGCACUGUUAUAUGUAUGUUCCAUAGAAUGUGUUUAGUUAUGUCCAGGGAAACAAUGCUACCUAUGAUUCUGUCUAUUGUACAACAACACCAUGCCCAAAGCCACAUUUACAUGUACAAAUCAUGUGGCAUCGCACGUAUUGUAUGCCUAUGCUUCAUUACUCCCUAACACCAUAUGUAAUAUAUUCUUAUUUGUUGUAAGACCAAUUACAGCCACUUACUUUUAAUUAAUUUAUCAUAUAAUUUUAAUGUGUAA